GACGAACGCUGGCGGCAUGCCUAAUACAUGCAAGUCGAGCGAACAGAUGAAGUGCUUGCACUUCUGACGUUAGCGGCGAACGGGUGAGUAACACGUAAGGAAUCUACCUAUAAGCGGGGGAUAACAUUCGGAAACGGGUGCUAAUACCGCAUAAUAUCUUCUUCCGCAUGGAAGAAGAUUGAAAGACGGCUCUGCUGUCACUUAUAGAUGACCUUGCGGUGCAUUAGUUAGUUGGUGGGGUAAUGGCCUACCAAGGCGAUGAUGCAUAGCCGACCUGGGAGAGUGAUCAGCGACAUUGGGACUGAGACACGGCCGAAAUUCCUACGGGAGGCAGCAGUAGGGAAUCUGCCGCAAUGGGCGAAAGCCUGACGGAGCAAUACCGCGUGAGUGAAGAAGGCCUUCGGGUCGUAAAACUCUGUUAUAAGAGAAGAACAAAUUGUAGAGUAACUGCUACAGUCUUGACGGUAUCUUAUCAGAAAGCCACGGCUAACUACGUGCCAGCAGCCGCCGUAA
rnacentral:rRNA from 1 species